ACACGUGGGUGACCUGCCCUAAAGAUGGGGACAACGGAUGGAAACAUGCGCUAAUACCCAAUGGACCUGUACUGUCGAAGGUAUAGGUAAAGCUUCGGCGCUUUAGGAGGGGCCUGCGGCCCAUCAGCUAGUUGGUAGGGUAACGGCCUACCAAGGCAAAGACGGGUAGGGGGUGUGAGAGCAUGACCCCCCACAAUGGGACUGAGACACGGCCCAUACUCCUACGGGAGGCAGCAGCAGGGAAUAUUGCACAAUGGACGGAAGUCUGAUGCAGCGACGCCGCGUGGAUAAUGAAGGCCCUCGGGUCGUAAAAUCCUUUUCAGGGGGAAGAGGAAGGACGGUACCCCUGGAAUAAGCGUCGGCUAACUACGUGCCAGCAGCCGCGGUAAGACGUAGGACGCAAGCGUUAUCCGGAUUUACUGGGCGUAAAGCGUCUGUAGGCGGUUGGGUAAGUUGGGCGUGAAAGCUCCGUGCUCAACGCGGAGAGGUCGUUCAAUACUGCCGAACUAGAGGACAUCAGAGGAGCAUGGAAUUUCCGGUGUAGCGGUAAAAUGCGCAGAUAUCGGAAGGAACACCAGUGGCGAAGGCGGUGCUCUGGGGUGUGCCUGACGCUGAGAGACGAAAGCUAGGGGAGCGAACAGGAUUAGAGACCCUGGUAGUCCUAGCCCUAAACGAUGGAUGCUAGAUGUGGGGCCGAGAAGGCUCCGUGUCGCAGUUAACGCGGUAAGCAUCCCGCCUGGGGAUUACUGCCGCAAGGCUAAAACUCAAACGAAUUGACGGGGCCCCGCACAAGCAGCGGAGCGUGUGGUUUAAUUCGAUGCUACACGAAGAACCUUACCUGGGUUUGACAUGUAAGUGGUAGUGAAGCGAAAGCGGAGCGACCCUUCGGGGAGCUUACACAGGUGCUGCAUGGCUGUCGUCAGCUCGUGCCGUGAGGUGUCGGGUUAAGUCCCGUAACGAGCGCAACCCUUGCCCUUAGUUACAAGUGUCUAAGGGGACUGCGGGCGGUAAGCCGGAGGAAGGUGGGGACGACGUCAAGUCAGCAUGGCCCUUAUAUCCAGGGCUACACACUCGCUACAAUGGUCAGUACAAAGGGCAGCGAAGCCUCAGGUGAAGCGAAUCCCACCAA
rnacentral:rRNA from 1 species